CCUUACCGCGCGCCAUCAAAUCAAUCCAAGUUGAACGGAUUUCCACUCGAUCAAGUAAGUUGCUUCUUGUUGCUUGCUUGUUUGCUACAGCUCUGCUCGUCUGACCUUCUCCUCCUCCUCUCGUUCGAGCUUUAUAUAUGCGGCGACGCCAACGCGGUGGGCGAGAUGACCAUGGCGGCACAACUCGGGUGUAAAUGGUUGGAAAUGGAUAGGAAGACGCGAAAACAAAUAACAACACGAGCGAGAAACCGAGAACGAGACUAGAGGAAGACGAUUCAAAGUCAAUUGUACGCCUGGUCAAUAAACAAGUGCCUGCUGAGCCUGACGGCUGUGGGGUUUCCUUGGAAGAUUCCGGUCUGAAGGGAAAGCUCGCGCUGCUGACGUUGUCAGCGCAAUGCCUUGGCGAAGGAGAUCAGCAAUGUUUGGAUUGACUACAAAUGUCUCAUUAGUUUGUUGAGCUCAUUAUCGUUGUGUGUUUUUUUUUUUUGGAACCUGGAGCUCAUUAUCGUUGUUUGUUAGUGGAAGAUUUUCGCCUUGGUGCUCAAGUCAAACUUAUUCGGUUUAUCAUUUCAUCAUCUCUGAUGCACUACAAAACAUUGUUUGACUCUGGAUCUCUGUUUUCUUUAAAUCUCUUUCUUGCUGUGAGAGUCUCUGAUGACAGGAGGGAUGACGCUGACAUGCAAGUGGCUGACCGUAUAAUUUUUCUUUUCUGUUUCUAGAACAAAGCUCAUGGGAAUGGGAUGAUGCUACGCUACGGGACACCGUUUAGCUUGGAGAGACGGCAAAUUGCGAACACUAUGGUCUCUUUGCACAUGAAACAGGUUCCCUUUCUCGUUUAUAUUUAAAACAUGUUCAGGACCGCUCUAUUUAUAAAAAUUCAGCUCCGUUUUAGAAAAUGUAAGCCAAACGGGAUAGCUUCACGAUAUACCUC
rnacentral:lncRNA from 1 species